UUCGCAAUGCCCGAAAGGGUGACGAAGCGACGCCGCGUGGGUGAGGAAGGCCUUCGGGUUGUAAAGCCCUGUCAGGAGUUAAGAAAUAUAAGUGCGCUAAUACCGCAUUUAUUUGACGAAGGCUCCAAAGGAAGUCACGGCUAACUCUGUGCCAGCAGCCGCGGUAAUACAGAGGUGGCAAGCGUUGUUCGGAAUUAUUGGGCGUAAAGAGCACGUAGGUGGGUUUGUAAGUCAGAUGUGAAAGCCUCCUGUUCAACGGGAGAAUUGCAUCUGAAACUACAGAUCUUGAGUGUAGGAGGGGAGAAUGGAACUUCUGGUGGAGCGGUGAAAUGCGUAGAUAUCAGAAGGAACGCCGGCGGCGAAAGCGAUUCUCUGGCCUAUUACUGACACUCAGUGUGCGAAAGCUAGGGGAGCAAACGGGAUUAGAUACCCCGGUAGUCCUAGCCGUAAACGAUGGGCACUAAGUAGAGGGA
rnacentral:rRNA from 1 species